UUUUCUGCCCAGACGGGAAGGAUGAGAAGCUUCGACUAAGGUUCGAUUCGAGCGUUAGCGAGAAAGCGUUGCCGCAGGCAACGACCCGAAGGGCGAAGCGCACCGCGCUGAGUAAUCCUUCCCCCACCACCA
rnacentral:sRNA from 2 species